GAAAUGCGAUAAGUAGUGUGAAUUGCAGAGUUUAGUGAAUCAUCAAAUCUUUGAACGCACAUUGCGCCCGCCGGCACUCCGGCGGGCAUGCCCGUCCGAGCGUCACCUCAACCCUCGGGCCCAGCCCGGCGUUAGGGGCCCGCGCCCAGCGGCCCCCGGAAUACAGCGGCGCCGCCGCCCGGCACGCCCCCUGCGAGGUAAAUUCACCGCAGAGGGGACCCGGGCGCUGCGGCAGCCCCCCAUAGCCCAUCGAAAUGACCUCGGAUCGGGUAGGACUACCCGCUGAACUUAA
rnacentral:misc_RNA from 1 species